rnacentral:rRNA from 1 species
GAUGAACGCUGGCGGCGUGCCUAAUACAUACAAGUCGAUCGAACAGACGAGGAGCUUGCUCCUCUGACGUUAGCGGCGGACGGGUGAGUAACACGUGGAUAACCUACCUAUAAGACUGGGAUAACUUCGGGAAACCGGAGCUAAUACCGGAUAAUAUAUUGAACCGCAUGGUUCAAUAGUGAAAGACGGUUUUGCUGUCACUUAUAGAUGGAUCCGCGCCGCAUUAGCUAGUUGGUAAGGUAACGGCUUACCAAGGCAACGAUGCGUAGCCGACCUGAGAGGGUGAUCGGCCACACUGGAACUGAGACACGGUCCAGACUCCUACGGGAGGCAGCAGUAGGGAAUCUUCCGCAAUGGGCGAAAGCCUGACGGAGCAACGCCGCGUGAGUGAUGAAGGUCUUCGGAUCGUAAAACUCUGUUAUUAGGGAAGAACAAAUGUGUAAGUAACUAUGCACGUCUUGACGGUACCUAAUCAGAAAGCCACGGCUAACUACGUG